rnacentral:rRNA from 1 species
GCUGUUAAGGGUUCGUAGUUGAAUGCGGAAUUGAGGGAUCCAGCGGGUUCGCCUGCUUUUCGUCUCAUUCUGUCAUAGACGGGACCGGAGCCUUGCGGAGGCUAACCUUCACUGGUUGGCUGUGCUGUUGGGUGAAGAGCUCAACAUUACGCAUGCGACGCAUGCUUGGCCGCCCGUUGUUUCACUGUGAAGAAAACAGCGUGUUCAAGGCAGCCGCUAGCGGUUGUAUGACAAAGCUGGAAUGACAAAGCAUUUCGACCAAUGGGUCUGUCUUUUGUCGGUUUUUACGAUUCAUUUGGUAAUUUGUGGGCCAAGCAUUUCGUUAACCUUUCGAGGUGCGGAACUUGGUCGAACCGGGAUUAAUGGGGGUUGUCGGGGGAAAACGUAUCUGAGCGUGAGAGGUGAAAUUCUUAGCCGCUCGGGGACGAACUUAUGCGAAGGCAUUUUCCAAGUAUACCUUCAUCAAUCAAGACUAAAGUGUGGAGAUCGAAGAUGAUUAGAUACCAUUGUAGUCCGUCCCUU